rnacentral:rRNA from 1 species
GGCCUAACACAUGCAAGUCGAGCGAGAAGCCACCUUCGGGUGGUGGGCAGCGGCGGACGGGUGAGUAACGCGUAGGGAUCUGCCCAGGAGUGGGGGACAACCACUGGAAACGGUGGCUAAUACCGCAUAUGCCCAUUGAGUAUGAUGCUUGAUGGGGAAAGAUUUAUCGCUCCUGGAUGUACCUGCGUCGGACUAGCUUGUUGGUAAGGUAACGGCUCACCAAGGCGACGAUCCGUAGCUGGUUUGAGAGGAUGAUCAGCCACACUGGGACUGAGACACGGCCCAGACUCCUACGGGAGGCAGCAGUGGGGAAUAUUGCACAAUGGGCGCAAGCCUGAUGCAGCCAUGCCGCGUGAGUGAAGAAGGCCUUAGGGUUGUAAAGCUCUUUCAACAGUGAAGAUGAUGACGGUAGCCGUAGAAGAAGCCCCGGCUAACUCCGUGCCAGCAGCCGCGGUAAUACGGAGGGGGCAGGCGUUGUUCGGAAUUACUGGGCGUAAAGGGCACGUAGGCGGCGAUGCGGGUCAGGUGUGAAAGCCCCGGGCUUAACCUGGGAACUGCACUUGAAACUGCAUUGCUUGAGGACGGAAGAGGAGAAUGGAAUUCCCAG